rnacentral:rRNA from 1 species
AUGCACGCUGGCGGCGUGCCUAAUCCCUGCAAGUCGAGCGAACAGAUGAGGAGCUUGCUCCUCUGACGUUAGCGGCGGACGGGUGAGUAACACGUGGAUAACCUACCUAUAAGACUGGGAUAACUUCGGGAAACCGGAGCUAAUACCGGAUAAUAUAUUGAACCGCAUGGUUCAAUAGUGAAAGACGGUUUUGCUGUCACUUAUAGAUGGAUCCGCGCCGCAUUAGCUAGUUGGUAAGGUAACGGCUUACCAAGGCAACGAUGCGUAGCCGACCUGAGAGGGUGAUCGGCCACACUGGAACUGAGACACGGUCCAGACUCCUACGGGAGGCAGCAGUAGGGAAUCUUCCGCAAUGGGCGAAAGCUUGACGGAGCAACGCCGCGUGAGUGAUGAAGGUCUUCGGAUCGUAAAACUCUGUUAUUAGGGAAGAACAAAUGUGUAAGUAACUAUGCACGUCUUGACGGUACCUAAUCAGAAAGCCACGGCUAACUACGUG